rnacentral:rRNA from 1 species
UCGGCCCGAGAUGUACACGCCGUGAGGCGUUCAGUCGACGGGUACGAAUCGGUCGAGGACUUGACCU